UCCGUAGGGUGAACCUGCGGAAGGAUCAUUAGUGAAUAAAUAGGGUGUCCAAUUUAACUUGGAACCCGACCUUCUCACAUCUAACCCUGUGCAUCUGUAUUUAAUGGGGAGCAAUUUUCGAAUUGUGAGCCAUUUCACUUUAUAAACACUAGUCUAUGAAUGUAAAAUUUUUAUAACAAUAAAAACUUUCAACAACGGAUCUCUUGGGUCUCGCAUCGAUGAAGAACGCAGCGAAAUGCGAUACGUAAUGUGAAUUGCAGAAUUCAGUGAAUCAUCGAAUCUUUGAACGCAUCUUGCGCUCUCUGGUAUUCCGGAGAGCAUGUCUGUUUGAGUGUCAUGAAUUCUUCAACCCAACUGUUUCUUGUAAACAGCUGGUGUUUGGAUUCUGAGCGCUGCUGGGUUCGUGCCUAGCUCGUUCGUAAUACAUCAGCAUCCCUAAUACAAGUUUGGAUUGACUUGGGGUAAUAGACUAUUCGCUAAGGAUUCAAUGUUCUGCAUUGAGCCAACUUAGUUAAGGAAGCUUCUAAUUGAAAAGUCUACCUUUAGAUUAGAUCUCAAAUCAGGGAGGAUUACCCGCUGAACUUAAGCAUAUCAAUAGCGGAGGA
rnacentral:rRNA from 1 species